AGUCGUAACAAGGUUUCCGUAGGUGAACCUGCGGAAGGAUCAUUAAUGAAUUUUAGGACGUUCUUUUUAGAAGUCCGACCCUUUCAUUUUCUUACACUGUGCACACACUUCUUUUUUACACACACUUUUAACACCUUAGUAUAAGAAUGUAAUAGUCUCUUAAUUGAGCAUAAAUAAAAACAAAACUUUCAGCAACGGAUCUCUUGGCUCUCGCAUCGAUGAAGAACGCAGCGAAUUGCGAUAAGUAAUGUGAAUUGCAGAAUUCAGUGAAUCAUCGAAUCUUUGAACGCACCUUGCACUCUUUGGUAUUCCGAAGAGUAUGUCUGUUUGAGUGUCAUGAAACUCUCAACCCCCCUAUUUUGUAAUGAGAUGGGUGUGGGCUUGGAUUAUGGUUGUCUGUCGGCGUAAUUGCCGGCUCAACUGAAAUACACGAGCAACCCUAUUGAAAUAAACGGUUUGACUUGGCGUAAUAAUUAUUUCGCUAAGGACGUUUUCUUCAAAUAUAAGAGGUGCUUCUAAUUCGCUUCUAAUAGCAUUUAAGCUUUAGACCUCAAAUCAGUCAGGACUACCCGCUGAACUUAAGCAUAUCAAUAAGCGGAGGAA
rnacentral:misc_RNA from 1 species